GGACCAGAAAUACAAACUAAUUUCCUGUUGAAGUAAACACCUUUGAUACAUUGACUUUGGUGUUAGCCUCGAGCCCAGGGCUGCCUGCUUCUAUCUGUGUGAUUAAACUCUGGAGUGUUUAGACCAGAAACAACCCUGAAAACCGGGUUCAUAUCUGUAAAGGUCCUCGAACCCCAGGGCCUGACUUAAGCCUCGCUGAUCUUGAACGCGUUCAGAACACAGGUGUGUUUAUGUCUGUCUACAGUGACCGUUUCUAGGUUCAUUAGUUAGAUUUUUAUUUCAUGCAUUCUGAAUUAAGUCUGGCAGACUGUCAUUUCCAGCUGGUCCACUAGGUGGUGCUCAGCAUGCAGAACAACAGCAGGCUGUGGCCUCCAGAGAAGAAGCUUCUUUACCCUGCUGCAUGCUCUAGGUCCACUCAGUCCUUGUCGGUGUUGAGCGGGUCAUGGUCCAGGGUUUGAAGUCCUGGUGUUUCCAGAAAGAUGAUGUUAUCCAUGUUGGAAACACUCCUGUGUUCUGCUUCCGUUUGACCUGAUGCCCUUGGGCCAGGGCCACUGAAACCAGGACCUGUUGAUGCACAAUUAGUGGCUGAGCGGAGAGCUGACCAGGAACAACGGUGGUGGCAAAUCCCAGUUGGGUCUGUGAUGGAGUGAUGCUCACCUGGAGUGAUUGCCAUCUCAUCCACAGGUUCUAAGAAGAAGAAGAAGAAGAAAAUAUCAUUUCUAUAGCGCCUCUCAAGAUUAAAAUCACGAGGCGCUUCACAAAAACAAAAAAAAUGUAAAAAUAUAAAAAACAUCAGGCAGAGGGAUACUCAUGUCCUGAAGAAACCUGCAGACUGUUGAACCCACUGAAAAACGGAGUUGUUUUCCAGCUGGGUUCCCUGGUUGCAGAGCCUGUUCCUUUCUCCUCCUGGCCCUGACGCCGGCUCCUCAUGGCUUCCUGGGAUGUCCCCCCUUCACUUUCCCUCAUCUCAUUUGCCUCACUGCUGCUGCUGCUUUCCUCAUUCUCUGAAAUUAUAAUGGCACUGUUAGAAUAAAGAAUCAUUUUAAAUAAAAUAAAUACAAAUGUCUAAUAUUUCAAAAGAUUGGUACCACAGUUUACUUGAGUACAACGUGUGUGGUCACUGGUCAGUGGAUCAACAUGCAGUUGUUCUGCUGCGGGGUCCUUCCUCCUGCUUGGUUCAGGGCGAUGAACAAACACAGCAUCAGCCCUGAGUCUCACCUUGCCUUGCCUAAGCUUAGUAAACUGUCCCUCCCCAAAAUGUGCCUGUAGAGUGGUGUAUUAGUUUAUUUCCUGCCACAUUUAACAGUUUAAUUGCAGCCUUGUGCUGUUGAGAACAAAACGUAGAGCCUUGAUAGAAAACAUGUGAGAGUGCACGUUAAACUCACUGCACACAGCUUUUUGAUAUUGUGAUCUCUGCUCAUGGUGAGGUUGCUCCUGCUGACUUGAGCCAACCAUUUUCUUCUUCUCUCUGCGUCUUUGGGUACGCCGUAAUUCUGAUUCCUCCCUCAGACCGAUUGCUAUAUGCAGCGCAGCCAACCAUGUAAGAUAAUCAACCUAUAAAGGGAUUAUUAAAAUAUAGAAAUAUUGAACUAAACCAAAAAUAUAGAGAUGAAAAAUUACAUUUUAAAAUGUUAUCCAACCCUAAAAUUAGUAAUUUCAAAUUUUAACCCACUGACAAGUUUUAUUUUAAUAAUAAUCAAAAUAAAGUUAUUCAAAAGAGUUUCAUUAGGUCUUGAGUACAUUACUCAUAAUUAAUGAUUCAGCUUAUUUGUGCAUAUGUAAUGACUCAACAUGAUGUUGGUAAAAUGCUUUAUUAAAAAUGCCAUUAUACAUGUUGUACAAGUUUGGUGAUCAUUUUUCACAAUUAACACUUUUUUAUCUGUGUUGACCGUACAGUUUAAUAGAAAAUUUUCUGUUUAAUUAGUUGCUAUUAGUCAGGCUAUAGAAGCCAGAUAAACUGGGUUAUAGAUGCAUGUACUGUCUUCACAUAAAAAUAUAAAGUAAUGACUGUAAAAUGUUUUCUACUGAACAUAAUAGACCAUCAUUCAAAGCAUAAACAGCGACAUAUUUUCUUCAAGGUAAGCUGGAGCAGAAUUCUGGCUUUCAUAGAACCACUUUAAAAUGGAUAUUACGACUCGACUUUAGGGCUUCUUGUAGGACUUAAAGAGCA